AUACAGAGGGUGCAAGCGUUAAUCGGAAUGACUGGGCGUAAAGAGCUCGUAGGCGGUAAGAUGUGUCACAGGUGAAAUCCCCGGGCUUAACCUGGGAACUGCCUGUGAAACUGUCUGACUAGAAUAUAAGAGAGGUAAGUGGAAUUUCCGGUGUAGCGGUGAAAUGCGUAGAUAUCGGAAAGAACACCAGUGGCGAAGGCGACUUACUGGCUUAAUAUUGACGCUGAGGAGCGAAAGCGUGGGGAGCAAACAGGAUUAGAUACCCUGGUAGUCCACGCUGUAAACGAUGAGAACUAGAUGCUUGUCAACCAAGGUUGAUGGGUGUUGAAGCAAACGCAUUAAGUUCUCCGCCUGGGGAGUACGGCCGCAAGGUUAAA
rnacentral:rRNA from 1 species